UACGAAGGGGGCUAGCGUUGCUCGGAAUGACUGGGCGUAAAGGGCGCGUAGGCGGUUUGGACAGUCAGAUGUGAAAUUCCUGGGCUCAACCUGGGGGCUGCAUUUGAUACGUUCGGACUAGAGUGGGGAAGAGGGUCGUGGAAUUCCCAGUGUAGAGGUGAAAUUCGUAGAUAUUGGGAAGAACACCGGUGGCGAAGGCGGCGACCUGGUCCUUGACUGACGCUGAGGCGCGAAAGCGUGGGGGAGCAAACAGG
rnacentral:rRNA from 1 species